UAGAGUUUGAUCCUGGCUCAGGAUGAACGCUAGCGAGGCUUAACACAUGCAAGUCGAACGGUAAGGCCCCUUCGGGGGUACACGAGUGGCGCACGGGUGAGUAACGCGUAUGCAACCUGCCCUGUACAGGGGGAUAGCCCGGAGAAAUCCGGAUUAAUACCCCAUAGUUUUUACGAGUCGCAUGGCUUGUAAAAUAAAGUUUCGGCGGUACAGGAUGGGCAUGCGUGGCAUUAGCUAGUUGGUAAGGUAACGGCUUACCAAGGCGACGAUGCCUAAGGGUUCUGAGAGGAUGAUCCCCCACACUGGGACUGAGACACGGCCCAGACUCCUACGGGAGGCAGCAGUGAGGAAUAUUGGUCAAUGGGCGAGAGCCUGAACCAGCCAUCCCGCGUGCAGGAUGACGGCCCUACGGGUUGUAAACUGCUUUUAUGUACCAAGAAUAGGCGCUACGUGUAGUGUUAUGACGGUAGUACAUGAAUAAGCAUCGGCUAACUCCGUGCCAGCAGCCGCGGUAAUACGGAGGAUGCAAGCGUUAUCCGGAUUCAUUGGGUUUAAAGGGUGCGUAGGCGGUCUGAUAAGUCAGUGGUGAAAUGCUGCAGCUCAACUGUAGAACUGCCAUUGAAACUGUCAGACUUGAGUGCGCCUGAGGUAGGCGGAAUGAGUAGUGUAGCGGUGAAAUGCUUAGAUAUUACUCAGAACACCGAUUGCGAAGGCAGCUUACUAAAGCGUAACUGACGCUGAUGCACGAAAGCGUGGGGAGCGAACAGGAUUAGAUACCCUGGUAGUCCACGCCGUAAACGAUGAUAACUCGCUGUUGGCGAUACACAGUCAGCGGCUUAGCGAAAGCAUUAAGUUAUCCACCUGGGGAGUACGAUCGCAAGGUGAAACUCAAAGGAAUUGACGGGGCCCGCACAAGCGAGGAACAUGUGGUUAAUUCGAUGAUACGCGAGGAACCUUACCUGGGCUUAAAUGUGGAUUGACCGUUGCUGAAAAGUGACUUCCCUUCGGGGCAAUUUACAAGGUGCUGCAUGGUUGUCGUCAGCUCGUGCCGUGAGGUGUCGGGUUAAGUCCCAUAACGAGCGCAACCCUUAUCGUCAGUUGCUAACAGGUAAAGCUGAGGACUCUGGCGAGACUGCCACCGUAAGGUGAGAGGAAGGUGGGGAUGACGUCAAAUCAGCACGGCCCUUACGUCCAGGGCUACACACGUGUUACAAUGGUCGGUACAAAGGGCAGCUACUUGGCAACAAGAUGCUAAUCCCAAAAGCCGGUCUCAGUUCGGAUUGGAGUCUGCAACCCGACUCCAUGAAGCUGGAUUCGCUAGUAAUCGCGCAUCAGCCAUGGCGCGGUGAAUACGUUCCCGGCCUUGUACACACCGCCCGUCAAACCAUGGAAGCUUGGGGGACCUGAAGUCUGCAACCGCAAGGAGCGGCCUAGGGUAAAACAAGUGACUGGGGUUAA
rnacentral:rRNA from 1 species